ACUCAAAGGAAUUGACGGGGGCCCGCACAAGCGGCGGAGCAUGUGGAUUAAUUCGAUGCAACGCGAAGAACCUUACCUGGGUUUGACAUGUGCCGGACACCCCUGGAGACAGGGUUUCCGUAAGGUCGGUGCACAGGUGGUGCAUGGCUGUCGUCAGCUCGUGUCGUGAGAUGUUGGGUUAAGUCCCGCAACGAGCGCAACCCUCGUUCCAUGUUGCCAGCGCGUAAUGGCGGGGACUCAUGGGAGACUGCCGGGGUCAACUCGGAGGAAGGUGGGGAUGAGGUCAAGUCAUCAUGCCCCUUAUGCCCAGGGCUUCACACAUGCUACAAUGGCCGGUACAGAGGGCUGCGAAACCGCAAGGUGGAGCGAAUCUCACAAAGCCGGUCUCAGUUCGGAUCGGGGUCUGCAACUCGACCCCGUGAAGUCGGAGUCGCUAGUAAUCGCAGAUCAGCAACGCUGCGGUGAAUACGUUCCCGGGCCUUGUACACACCGCCCGU
rnacentral:rRNA from 1 species